AGGCUUUCUCUAUAUCCUCCUGCUUCACUAGAAGGAGGUGGGCACUGGAUGGUUCCACCUUAAUGGCAGACAGGAGUGAUCCUAAUAGGAUUCAUAUAACUCUCCCAAUGACAAAAGACCCACAAUUGCCUUGAACCUAUGGAUGGUCAGAAAAACAAAAACAUGGAAGCACCAAAGUUCCCGUAGGAAGUGUAUACCUUUUACUUGCUUCUAUUUCUUUCCUUCCUUUGAAAACUACUGAACCUUUGUGAGAAGAGUGUUUUGGAUGCAUCAUAAUAUGUGCAGAAAUACAGCAUUGGAUCUCAAGGAUCUUCUACCUUCAACUUCUCUGCAGUAGAGGGUCAAAGAGAUAACCAGGAAGACAUGUGACAUGGUACAUUGUCUCUCCUAUGAGCUAUGUUCACAACUGAUGUGGAAAAGACAACUUUGCUGUCUCCUUCAAUGUCCUCGUAACCAGUUUUAUUCUGGAUACUCUCACUAUGUGGUUCUCAUACGAGAAUGGAGUCAUUCUAUAAUAGUUGAUUUACAAACAUUGGAAGAAAAUAUAUUAGCCACCGAGAUUUAGAUAAUUCCAUCUCCCAUUACAGUACAGUGGUAUUAGUGUGACUUUGAAAUCUAGUCGUAUUACCUCUGUUUUGAGGCAAAUAUGUGAGCUUUGAUUCCCAUAUAUGAAAAUUAGUGAUAAUAACCUACUUGUAUGGGUUUUUGUGAAGAAUAAGUGAAAAAAUUUAUAUUACAUGCUUGA